UACGGAGGGAGCUAGCGUUGUUCGGAAUUACUGGGCGUAAAGCGCACGUAGGCGGCUUUGUAAGUUAGAGGUGAAAGCCCGGGGCUCAACCCCGGAAUUGCCUUUAAGACUGCAUCGCUUGAAUCCAGGAGAGGUGAGUGGAAUCCCGAGUGUAGAGGUGAAAUUCGUAGAUAUUCGGAAGAACACCAGUGGCGAAGGCGGCUCACUGGACUGGUAUUGACGCUGAGGUGCGAAAGCGUGGGGAGCAAACAGG
rnacentral:rRNA from 1 species